AAUUAGAGACCUUACCCUGACCAAAAGAAAACGGCGCUCCUCAUUCCCUUUCGAUCACCUCCUCCAAAGGGGCCCCUCCCAAAUCAGACCUCGACUUUUAGAGAAAGUAGUGAACGGCGUCCUUAGGUCAUCUUCUUCAAGCUUCGUUUAUCUAAAAACCAACAGCCAUGGCCUCACCCUCCUCACCACCAAAUCCUUCAGCAUACACUACUUAAAUCCCUCUCUUCAUCCAUCACUUCCUCACAGCCACUAGAUUGCCGGAAAUCUGGCAUUCAUCAACUCCCCCUUUCUUUUCGACUUUUGUUAAUCUCAUCCCUAACCUUGGAAAAACUGAAAACAAAGACACGACAAGCUUGGAGACCAAAAAUGAUAGGAAAAACCGAAUUUCAAAUAAGAUCUGAAAGGGAUUUUGGUCGCCAAAAUGUUAAAAUUUGACUUCCUCUUUUCUCUGGGCUCGUAUGAAGCUGUAAAUAGAAUGUGUGUUGCUGAACUUGUUGUUCCAAAAUUUAUAAAGUUCUAUUCAUCUUCAUCGCUAUCUUUACUUGGUUAGUUGGGAAUGUAUAUCUGCUGCUAAGGUACUGUCUCCCACUCUCAUUCUUGUAAUGCUCCUUUUGAUUUAAUAAAAAUAUGCUUACAAUGAUGAGGCAAUGUAUAAUUAUAUAUUUCCUUGUUACAUUCAGCAGUUUUUUUUGUGUCAAUAGUUCUUCAUUACAUAUUUGGUCUGUUGGAAUUUGUUGCUACUCUUGAUAUUGUACGAAUUGUUCAACUUGAUUUUGAUUUUGGAGUAAGGAUUGUAGUGUGAAAUAAAAUGGUGUCUUUCUUUAGGGAAUGGUUGGUGGUUUAAUCUGAAUAAUAUAUGUCUAGUCAAAUUAUGCAACAGUGGAAUGUAAAUGUCUUAUGCCAUUUGAUGUUAAAGAUCCAUUCGAAGCAAGAUAUGGAAAAUGUUCAGGUUCUUGAGGAGUGUUUAGGUAUAUUUUUAAGCAUUAGGUGUGAAAAACUUCAAGCAACUGGCAAUUGUAGUUCUUUAUAAGGCAUUCAAAAGAAAACACAUGCUCGUAAUUGUAGUUCUUUAAGGUAAAAUUUGAUAUUUUAAAAUUUAAAUUGGAUGCAUGUCAAUAUAAUUUAUGUAUAAAAUGAGAUAGGUGCAUUGAGUUGGCAUGAUUUAGAAGUAGGUUGUGGCAUUUACUAACUGGUAUGGGAAAGAUAAAUUGACACUAGUUCUGUCGGCAUGUGUCCAUAAUAUUUUAUUUAUUCCGCUUGUGUCUCCAUAAGCAAAUAGAGGCUAUAAAUGUAGAAUUGAAUUUAAUUUCCUGCUAAGAACUUUAGUUUCCAUGUCGUUACAAUUGAUAUUUGAUAGUAAUGGCCAGCCUUUCGAGUGUUUGUAUGACUCUAAUUGUGUGAAUUUAAUCGCGCUAGUCACCUGUUUCUUUCUUUUUCUUUUGGAACUCUUUUUUGGUGACUUCUAUAUCUCAUGACUUUACAGUAAUCUCAAAAUUAGUUUUAGGAGAAUUACAAAUUAUCGUAGUUUGUUUUAGUUGAGCAAAGCCCUUUAAAAUAAUCCGAGACGUACCAUGCCAAAUAAAAUUUUAAAAUUCAUGGCCCUCAUUUAAUUAAUUUUAACUCUUUAGAAAUCGAUGUGUGCCAUUAGUUGAAUUUUUCAUGGCCUUCGCAAAGUUAAAGCACAUAGUUGCUUUAAGUGCGUAUUUUAAAAUUUUAUCUUCCUAUGCAUUUCAUGUGACCCAAAUCCAAAUCUUAAUAACGUUGAAUAAAAUAUUUUUCGGAUUGUGGGUGAAUUUCAUGUGGCGCGGUCCAAAGACAGGUUUUAGACAAUGUUAAAUCUUCUUUAAAAUAAAUAGAAACGGUUUGAAAGUUAAAAUAUUCCAUAGGCUAAAACAUGUAUUAAAAUCAGAUAAUAGGCUAAUUAUGAUAGUUUAAGCAACCAUGCUACAACCACGGAAUCCGGGGGUGCAUAACAACUUCCCUUGGGUUAAUUGAAUUCCUUAUUAAGAAUUUCUGGUUCGCAGAUUUCAAAAGAAAAGUCGAAUUUUCCUCGAUUUGGGAUUUUGAAAUAAACCGGUGACUUGGAACACCAGAAAACAAACCAUCCCAAGUGGCGACUCUUAAUAAAAAUGAAUAAAUAAUCUCAUUUCGAAUAAUGUCACUUAAAUUAAAAAAACUAUCUUAUAUCACCUUCGGGUGUGUAAAAAGGAGGUGUGACAGUCGACUUGGAGGCGCAAUUUCGAGAGGUCCUUUAGAUGAAAGAAGUCGAUACAAUAAGGUGGAGGAAACCCAUGGACAAUCUUGCCUCUGAGAAGGAAACUCUAAGUGAUCAGUUGGCUUCGCUCAAAUACCAGCUUCGAGGUGUGAAAGAGGAGAGCCUAGCUCGGUGCCUUGAAAUCGAGAAGCUUAAAGCUAGAUCUGCCGCAGAGUUAGUCAAGGCCAAAUCUGAUGUUGUGGCAAUUAUGACUUCGUAUCGAGCCGAUGCCGAAGCUGCUAAUGCUCGGCAAGGGAGAUUUCUUAUACGGCGGAGGCUAAGUUAUCAAGUUUCCUUGACAAUGCUAGGCCUCAAUCCCGGAGGAACCCUCAAAGAGAUACAUGCUCGUGACUUCGAUCUUUCAGCUGAUUUUGAAGCGGAUAAGAUUUUGGAAGAAGAUGCAGCCACUCUUCUUUUUGAUAAAGAUGAUCAAGCUAGUGUUUUUAAGAGUGAAAGAGACUAGGAUGAAGUCCCCGAGGAUGAGGCUCUCCAAGAUGGGACUCCUGAAAUGCAGCUGCUAAGGAUGUGACCCCGAAGUAGUUUUAGGUUACUUUUUUUUUGUUUUCUUGUAAGCCUCCCUUGUGUAAAUAUUUCAUGUAAUCAUCUUUUAGAAAUACGAGGGGAACUUUUUAUCUCGUCUUUGGUUAAUACUGGAUUUUAACUUUGUCUUUAUUUAUGGAAAACUUUGUUUGAAUGAUUAGUUCGAGGAUCAGUUUGUGGUUCAAGUUACAAACCCUUAGAUCUUUAUCGACAUAUAUAAUAGUUUUUGAGAGUUUAAAUCGAUCCAUUGUGAGCUUGAGAUAUUAUGAACCGCGAGUCCAGAUCGAAAUGAAAGCGGAGUCUCGAACUAUAAGUUUUUGGACCAUAAGCCUUUCGAGAUUGGCCCUUAGGCUCUUAUAUAUCAGCCCUUAAGCUAUUUUAAGUUGGCCCUUAGGCUCUUUUAAAAUUGGCCCUUAGGCUCUUUAUAUUGGGCCGUUUCGGCCUCUGAAAUAGCUAUGUAAUUUCCCCUUAUUUCGGCUAAAAGACUUAGUGAAAUUUUAGUUAUGCGUUAGCAUAUGUUUUUGAACCUGUUUGUUUUUCUAAGGCUCGGCGUUACCAAAGGCUUUAGAUAAUUCGAGGGCUAAUUUAUCGAAGUCAUUAGAAUUUUUGGGGUCUGAAUUUAUCGAAGCCCUUUUUUGAUACCCAAUUUUUCCCUGUAAAUUUUUUAUAUGCAAAAUACUUUCCAAAAUAAAACAUAUGUGCAUACAUAAGUAUGCCCAAGCGUUUUAGUAUUUUUCCUCAUUUUUAAGAGAUUUGUAAAUUAAUUCAUUGUACAAAAUAAAAAAUUAUCCCCAAGUUUUCAUUUUGGUGAUUAAUUUAUUUUAUUCUCAUAUUUAAAUCAAAAUAUAGUCAAGGUAAUUUUUAUAUUACAAUGUAUUUGGCAAUUAAAGCUAAAUUGCAUGUAAUUACAAUUUUAGCCUAUUUUAAGAUUAACAGUAUUUUAUAAUUAUAAAUUAUUUCCAAUAUUUCUUAAUUAACAUUUCGCGUUAUUAACUAACUCAGUACUUUUAAUUUGCUUUUAAAAUUAUUUUACUAUUUUUAUAAAAUAAAAAGGAAAAAGUGGGUAUUUAAAUACCAUCCCUAUUUUAUUUCACUUUUAGCCAAAUUAAGCCCCCCAUUUAACCCCAAUUUAAAUUUCAAAAUGGACCGACCCAAUUCCUAAACUACCCGCCCCUAAUCCAAUUAAAUACAACCCGACCGAGACCCAUUCUAUCCUGGCCGUUGAUCUCUAAGACAACGACCCCUAUUCAUUUCUACCUUUUUAAACCCAAACGACUAUCCUAAUCUCCUCAUUUCUCACCCACCAGCCGCCUCUGAUACCCUCCAUUUAUCUCAAACACUCUCGAACCUUCUUUAACCCUAGCCACCCCGCCCUAAAAUCCAUCUGAAUCUAUGGCCAUCAAAGCCAUAAGAGUCCUACACCUACCUCUUGGUGCUCUUACUUGUCUGAUACUUGAAGAUUCGGGUCCUGACUACGAAGGAUUGAACCCAGACCACCGUCGAUUCGAGGUCUCAGGGUCCUCUCCGGCUCUGUUCCGGCGUACCAUGGUCGUCUGAGCUUGUUUCUGACUUUUUUCGACUCAGAUCGGUGACCUUCAAAGCCUUUCUCAUUUCUAGGGUUUCUCCGAAAUUCUAAGCUAUUCGAAGUUUUUCUUUCUUUGUUUUCUUAGAUCUAUGAUAUAUUUGUGUUCUAUUGGAUGUUUAAGUUAUUUUCCCCAAUCUUUCUUUUAAAAAUUGCUUCUCUUCGAUUUAGGAUUUCUGAAAGAUUUUCACAACAUCUUUUUGAUUCUUCCUUUUUUUUUCCUUAUGUGUGUUCGGUUUAUAUUUUGCUCGUGUGUUUUCUUUUCUACCACGCAUGUGUUGUUCUUCUAUUUUCUUCUCUAUGUGACUCUUCUGUACCUUUGUACUCUACUAUGCAUCUAGAUUAGGCCCGCAUGUUUAUCUUUGUUAUGUUUUCCUACGUGUUCUUUUCUCUACUUUCCAGUAUUCUUAUACUGUACGUGUUUCCUGAUAAGUUCUUAAAUUUUGUUGCUUUACUGGAUUUUUGUUUGAGCUCUAAGCAUGCUUCCUUUACUGUUCCGUAAGUUUAUACCACUCUUCUCCUCUCUUCUAAACUUGCUUAAGUUUUGAGUUUUUCCUAAAAUGCUCUUUAUGCUUUUAAAUCAACCUUUCACUCUGUCACUUCAAACCUGCAAUCGUAUCUGUGUGUUUCCUUAUGAGGCUUUGAAACAGACCUCCGAGUCUGUUUCGAUGGCUUGCCUUCUCAUCUCUGUAUCUGAUUCAAGUUAAAACGCUAGGAUUUGGGGGUUUCUUUGGCAAGUUUGAUUUUGUGUUUGGAUUGGGGUCUACUUUGAAACCCUGAACUCUCAGACUCAUUCUAAGUCAAUAAAUUAGAUCUGAACCUUUUUGUGUCUUUUUCUAUGAUAGUCUUUUCUAAUCAACAUGAAGACUCCUUCUUGUUUGAUAUUUGUGUGCUUUAUAUAUGAGAAAUUCUUCUUUCAAAAAAGGUUUUACCAACUAUUAAUUGAUUUUGAAUCCCUUUUAUUAAGGUUUGACUGAUUGCUACUGUUUUUUCUUUGGUUGAACCUUCUUUACCUUUUCCUGACUUGGUUCAUUCGGUCAAAGCCUGCAAUUUUGAUUUUUACUAGCUGUUUGACUUAUUCCGAUUCCUUAUUUGUCACAAACCGUGUACCACUGAACUUUUGCCUUAAAUAAACCAUUGUGUAUUUGCCCUUAUUGUACUGCUUUGGAAAAGGUUUUGAUCAACUUUUUCCUUAAUUUCCUUUUACCCUUUUGAAAUUAGAAUCCCUUAAUUAAAGGGAGAUUGAUUUAAAUGCUAUUUUCUUACCUUUUCUUACUUGCUUUCUGCACUAUAAAAGGGCACGACCCUUCUGCACUUUGACAUACUUAGAAUUCAAUACUUUUACACACCUUUCAGUCCAAAUCUCUUUAAGACACUCUCAAUUAUUCUCACAUUUUCAUCUGAGUUUUUUCUGGCUGUUUUCUUGCAAUUUUGGCUUUACAAGACUUCUGCUUUUACUUAUCUGUUUCCCUGAAACUGGUAUGUUCUAGUUUAGUAUUAGCCAUCAUCCCAAUAUAUUUAUUUACAGCUUUUGCGAUCUUGUUUGCUUUACUGUCUAUGCUAAAUGAUUAAUAUUAACUAUGCCUUUUCUUGCAUCUAUUUCUAUUAUGAAUCCCUACCUAUAUUCCCUUCUAUGUGUUUGAGUUAAGGUUCUGGCAUGACGGUAUCCAAAUUGCUGAUCAUGUCUAAACCUGAUCCUUAAUGGAUCCUAACUCCCAAAUAAAUGUGGCUAACAGGCUGGUUAGGGGUGUGGCAGCACUCCUAAUUGCUAGGUAUGACCACCAACCUGCCAUGGCCUUCCCUAAAUCCCCUGUAUGCACUUGCACACUCUCUUAUAUUUUAAGUUCUGCCGCCUCUUAUGAGCCUCGCUUUGGGACCUUGAGUUCCCUUUGAACUUGGACAUUUGAGGCCUGGCUCUUCCACACUACACUAUAAUCAAUUCUACAAUGUAUUUGGUUGUAAGAAUUGCUCGGAAUCCACUUGAGGCUCUUGGGAACUUUGACACACCCAAAAAAUGAGAAAGGCUUUGAAAAUCUUGAUCUUCAUAGUUGGUUCAUCUCAUAUUUUAGACAUUGAGUCUGAAUUAGACUCCUUGGUUGUAGUUUAAUUUCUGAUGUGAUUUUACUUUUGGUAUGUAAUAAUUUGUAAUAACUUAUGAGCUUUUUGUAAAAAGGAGAGGGUCACACAUGUAUGCAUAGGGGUAGACAUCAUGUUCCUAGGUGUUCAUUCCUGCAAUCAUCUCUUGCUUUGCACUUCUUCAUCUCAUAUAAUGAUCAUGACUAUAAGGUCUUUUUGCACUUCUGCAUCUCAUAUAGAGAUCACGACUAUAAGGUUUUUUUUUUGCACUUUUGCAUCUCAUCUAGAAAUCAUGACUAUAGGGUUUUUCUACACUUCUGCAUACAGAAAUCAUGACUAUAGGGUUUUUUGCACUUCCGCAUAUAGAGAUCAUGACUAUAAGGUUUUUCUGCACUUAUGCAUAUAGAGAUCAUGGCUAUAGGGUUUUGUCUGCACUUCUGUAUGUCAUCUAUCACUAGGCAAAUGAUUUAUAGGCUCAAAUAACAAAUGGCACUCUAGAUACCAUGUCUAUUGGAUUCCUGCACUUUUAUAAAUGUUUUAAAAUCAAUCACGCUUAGAAAGCAUGCCUAUAGGAGUAACUAACUAAAUCUGAAUCGUCUAUCUCACUUACAAGCCUAAAACCAGUAGUAGUGUCGUUUAAUAUCCGCAAAACUUAUGUAUUUCUAUAAUCAGUAAGCCCUCUUUAAAAUCAGCAUACUCCUGCAUUAUUUGAUAUCAUGCCUAUAUGUGUCACCUAGGCAAGCCAUUAGUUAGUUUAUUAAUUGCAUGUCUCUGAUAAUUACAACCAGGGGUAUGCAUAAUUCAGACUUCUUAUAUGAGAAAUAUGUGAUAAACUAGCUUGCCUUAACACUUUAAAUUUAAUUCAGACCAUAACCAGUAUUUGUAAGUCAUACUAAAUAAUCUGCUUUUAAGUGAGAAGGCUUACCUGAGCCUUUUAAUUAUUCUGUGUUUCCGAUAAUUGCAUUACGUGUUUUGUUUGUCACCUCAGAAUUUUAUCCUUUUUUAAACCAUACUAAAUAUACAUUUUCCUCCCCUUUUUAGACUAGUAGUUCCAAAUUCCUCCGGGACUUAUAGGAUUGGGAUGGGUAAUAGCAUGUAAUAAGUAGCGAGACUAUUCCACGUAUAAUACCUUGACAGGGUGGGAAGGGUAGAUAUAGAUAUGAUAACCACACAAUAACACCACGUGUAUAAACGGUUACCGGGUGUUGUGUGGGGUGAUCAAUAUUAUUUAUAAACCUAGGACCCCCAUUUUCUUUUACUUAUCUAUAUUCUCAUAAUUUUAAAACUAUCUAAUUUUCAGCUACUUGAACCUCUUCUACUUUAAUUAACUUGCAUAAAUUAUGUGCAAACCCCUUCCCCUGUACUUGUGUGUUUUCUUUAGAAUUCUAAAAUGGCUUUUUUCCAAAUUUCAGCCUCUUUAACUUCUUGUAUUUCAGUUGUUUACAACCCUUAUGUGAAAGCUACCUUGUAUUUACAAUUCUUGUUUGCUUACUUGUUGUUUGUACUUAAAGUCAUAAUUAUAUCAUGGCCAGGAACCACACUAGUGGAUCUUGAGGGGCGCCUAACACCUUCCCCUCGAGAUAAUUUCUAGACCUUACCCAAUCGUUGGUUUUCUAAAUCAAAUUCAUUUUUAGUGUCCUAAUGUACUUAGUCAUUAUAUGGCGACUCUUUAACUCAGAAAAUUUACAAUUCUUGCAUGUUUACUUGUUGUUUGUACUUAAAGUCACAACUCUAGCAUGGCCGGGAACCACACUAGUGGAUCUUGAGGGGUGCCUAAUACCUUCCCCUUGAGAUAAUUUCUAGCACUUACCCAAUCUCUGAUUUUCUAAUUCAAAUUCAUUUUUAGUGUCCUAAUGCACUUAAUCAUUAGGUGGUGACUUUUCAAAAAUUGCAAAACCCAAUUCCCAAAAAGGGAACGAGUUGUCCUCCCAAGUGUCAUGAACCCGAUUUUGCGUGAAAAAUGGGGCAUCGACAGCGUGGCGACUCUGCUGGGGAUUCUUUAGGCUUUUACCAUUUCAUGUUGCUUGUGACUUUACUACUUCUUUGAUGCCUUACUUAAUGUCUUUAUCUCUUCUUCUACUACGAAACUGACUUGGCUCUUUGUUUCUUUUAUCUCUUUAACGCUUUCCUUUACUGCUUUCCUUCAAUAUUGUUGUAAAUUAUGAGAAACUGUUGUAAAUGUGAAAAUACGUGACCAUUUGUUCAAUUAUUGUAAUUGCAUCUUCAACAUCAUAUUCCACUCGUACCAAACAAAAUACCAUAGCAAUGCUUGUAAUGAGUGGUUACGCCCUUCCUAUAUCAUUACCCCCUAAAUUUGGCAAAGGCAUUUUUGCGGUAAAACCAGUCGAUCAAUAGGGUAAUCAACAGUUUCGUGCCUUUCUCUCUUGAGUUGUGCGCUCAAGGGUACCAAUCUAAUACCCCAUAGAAACCUUACUCUAUUCAACUGUGCAUGCAUAAUGGUCAAACCUAGCCGAGCCAGUUAUGUUGUCCGCAUAACGACUCUUUAAGAGUAGCCUUGUCCAAAGUCCACUUGGUUUCCUUGAAACCCAAACGGACACCACCAUGUUCUGUGCAUUUAUUUAGAGAACUAAAUGCUUCCAUGCUAAUUACAGGAAAUAAGGCACGAAAUCCCUAGAUUCGGUAUGGUCGCGAACAUCUACCCAAGGUUGCUAAACUGGUG
rnacentral:lncRNA from 1 species